GAUGAACGCUGGCGGCGUGCCUAAUACAUGCCAGUCGAGCGAACAGACGAGGAGCUUGCUCCUCUGACGUUAGCGGCGGACGGGUGAGUAACACGUGGAUAACCUACCUAUAAGACUGGGAUAACUUCGGGAAACCGGAGCUAAUACCGGAUAAUAUAUUGAACCGCAUGGUUCAAUAGUGAAAGACGGUUUUGCUAUCACUUAUAGAUGGAUCCGCGCCGCAUUAGCUAGUUGGUAAGGUAACGGCUUACCAAGGCAACGAUGCGUAGCCGACCUGAGAGGGUGAUCGGCCACACUGGAACUGAGACACGGUCCAGACUCCUACGGGAGGCAGCAGUAGGGAAUCUUCCGCAAUGGGCGAAAGCCUGACGGAGCAACGCCGCGUGAGUGAUGAAGGUCUUCGGAUCGUAAAACUCUGUUAUUAGGGAAGAACAAAUGUGUAAGUAACUAUGCACGUCUUGACGGUACCUAAUCAGAAAGCCACGGCUAACUACGUG
rnacentral:rRNA from 1 species